rnacentral:rRNA from 1 species
UACGUAGGGGGCAAGCGUUGUCCGGAAUCAUUGGGCGUAAAGAGCGUGUAGGCGGCCAGAUAAGUCCGCUGUGAAAUCUCGAGGCUCAACUUCGAGCUGUCGGUGGAAACUGUCUGGCUAGAGUCCGGAAGAGGAGAAUGGAAUUCCUGGUGUAGCGGUGAAAUGCGCAGAUAUCAGGAAGAACACCCGUGGCGAAGGCGGUGCUCUGGGACGGUACUGACGCUGAGACGCGAAAGCGUGGGGAGCGAACAGG